rnacentral:rRNA from 1 species
UACGUAUGUCGCAAGCGUUAUCCGGAUUUAUUGGGCGUAAAGCGCGUCUAGGUGGUUUGGUAAGUCUGAUGUGAAAAUGCGGGGCUCAACUCGGUAUUGCGUUGGAAACUGUCAAACUAGAGUACUGGAGAGGUGGGCGGAACUACAAGUGUAGAGGUGAAAUGCGUAGAUAUCGGGAGGAAUGCCAGUGGAGAAGGCAGCCCACUGGGCAGAUACUGACGCUGAAGCGCGAAAGCUUGGGUAGCAAACAGG